UACGGGGGGAGCAAACGUUGUUCGGAAUUACUGGGCGUAAAGGGCGCGUAGGCGGCCUUCUAAGUCGAACGUGAAAUCCCCGGGCUCAACCCGGGAACUGCGUCCGAUACUGGAAGGCUUGAAUCCGGGAGAGGGAUGUGGAAUUCCAGGUGUAGCGGUGAAAUGCGUAGAUAUCUGGAGGAACACCGGUGGCGAAGGCGACAUCCUGGACCGGUAUUGACGCUGAGGCGCGAAAGCCAGGGGAGCAAACGGG
rnacentral:rRNA from 1 species